UAUUAUGGAUGAGCAAAGAAAGUGGUUUCUUGAGAUGGAAUGCUAUUCCUGGUGAAGAUGCUGUGAA
rnacentral:pre_miRNA from 1 species